rnacentral:rRNA from 1 species
CGUCUAUAUACGUAUAGCAUAUCAAUAAGCGGAGGAAAAGAAACUAACAAGGAUUCCCUCAGUAACGGCGAGUGAAGCGGGAAGAGCUCAAAUUUGAAAUCUUCAAGGUUCUACCUUGACGAAUUGUAGUUUAUAGAAGUGUUUUCUGUUAGAUGAGUAGCAAAAGUUCCUUGGAAUGGGACAUCAUAGAGGGUGAGAAUCCCGUAUUUGGUUAUUCAUUCUAGCUUUGUGAUACACUUUCAAAGAGUCGGAUUGUUUGGGAAUGCAGUCCAAAAUGGGUGGUAAAUUUCAUCUAAAGCUAAAUAUUGGCGAGAGACCGAUAGCGAACAAGUACCGUGAGGGAAAGAUGAAAAGAACUUUGAAAAGAGAGUUAAACAGUACGUGAAAUUGUCAAAAGGGAAGCGUUUGACACCAGUGUUGUUUUUCCAAAAAUCAAUUACGAAUGGCUUGAUUUUGUGUUGUAUUGACCUUAUCAGCUUUCUGCACUUUUUUCGAGUCUUUCUUAAUGCACUUUUCGGUUAACAAGUCAACAUCAAUUUCUUUUGUUGUAAAAGAGUACUCGGAAGGUGGCUUUCUUUUCGGAGAAAGUGUUUAUAGCCCUAUACUUCUACAAUCGGAGAGAUUGAGGUCUGCAGCGUAGAUCCUUCGGGGUUAGAUACACUUGUGCUAAGUUGUAGCUUUUCAUAGACAACUUGUUGACUAUGUUUAGUCAUGCGGCUUACUCGCUUGUGCUAUUUUACCUACGCUUAGGAUGUUGACUGAUAUGUAGUCGUA